CUCUUAUCAAGAGUGGCGGAGGGACUAGGCCCUAUGAUGCCCGGCAACCGGUAAGCGACGAGCUUACAAAGGUGCUAAUUCCUACAGAUUCGGAUUGGAAUCUGAAAGAUAAGGG
rfam:Bacillus sp. KCTC 13219 scaffold3.1, whole genome shotgun sequence.